AACGUCUCAAGUAACCCGCGUCCAGACACGACAGGCCAGCGAUUCCCUCUGUUGCUUCACGAAUGGAGAAGAGGGGGGAGAGAGAGCCAUAAUUCGCAUCCAGCUGUACACAGAGAACACACCACUUGUUGCUAGCCCUUCCCCUGCAUAGUGCUAGCUGCUGCGUCUCCAUUUUCCUUUUUUCAAAUUUAUUUUUAAGUGAAAAGAGGGUUGGACAAUCUUAUUUCAAUUCCUUUUUGAAAUGACGACACACAAAUCACUUGGAUGUUGUGUGAGUAAUUGCGUUUAGACCAACAUGAAAUAUUUCGGGGGGAAAUUUUUGGGGGGGGGUUUCAUUUUUCUCAGCUCUCCCUUCUCCUUUCACGAAUCAAGGACGUACACACACACAAGUGAGCGACGAGCUUUGAAUUACACUUGGUCUUUUGGCGCCAUCUAUGGCUUCGUUAAAUGACGUUUGAUGAUAAUUUGAUUAAAAUUAUAAAAUACUCUAUUGGUAGGGAAUAUUAUUCAAACAAAAAAGGCUCUCUCAACUUUUGAUGGAUGCCACAAUCCACUGAUGUAUCAAUAUUUGUGUUUGGCUAAUCAAGAUAAUCGUCCUUCACGUUUCAAGUUCGUUUUUCUAGCGGAUGUUAAAAGGCUGAGAUCAUCGAUUCACGUUUCCCCUCUACACGAAAAAAAAAAAAAAGUUAUCGACGGAUUUCAAUCUUUUUUAAGGACGUUUCUGUUUUCGUUUGUCCAACAAACUACUCUCGGCCAAAGGUAUAAAAUGUUUGUGACCUUGGAAAAGCUGGUGUUACGUUAGAAGGAGAAAACCACUUGGAGGAAAACUAAUCCGAAAGAAUAAUAAGACAGCGACACGGAUUGAAUAACAAAUGGACACAUUCUUGCGCAAUUAGAGAAACAUGGCCGACUCAUUAAAAUGGAGAGUGGAAAAAAAGCCCCGCCCGUCAACAUUAUCUUCAAAAAAAUAUAAAUUCCCCCCC